rnacentral:rRNA from 1 species
UAGGGAAUCUUCGGCAAUGGGGGGAACCCUGACCGAGCAACGCCGCGUGAGUGAAGAAGGUUUUCGGAUCGUAAAGCUCUGUUGUAAGAGAAGAACGGGUGUGAGAGUGGAAAGUUCACACUGUGACGGUAUCUUACCAGAAAGGGACGGCUAACUACGUGCCAGCAGCCGCGGUAAUACGUAGGUCCCGAGCGUUGUCCGGAUUUAUUGGGCGUAAAGCGAGCGCAGACGGUUAGAUAAGUCUGAAGUUAAAGGCUGUGGCUUAACCAUAGUAUGCUUUGGAAACUGUUUAACUUGAGUGCAGAAGGGGAGAGUGGAAUUCCAUGUGUAGCGGUGAAAUGCGUAGAUAUAUGGAGGAACACCGGUGGCGAAAGCGGCUCUCUGGUCUGUAACUGACGCUGAGGCUCGAAAGCGUGGGGAGCAAACAGGAUUAGAUACCCUGGUAGUCCACGCCGUAAACGAUGAGUGCUAGGUGUUAGGCCCUUUCCGGGGCUUAGUGCCGCAGCUAACGCAUUAAGCACUCCGCCUGGGGAGUACGACCGCAAGGUUG